rnacentral:lncRNA from 1 species
UUUGGAUUUGACGACUUAGAUGAAAAGGAGGGAAAAUUAUAGGGUGUUGACAAAGGUGGAAGGGAAGUUCAGGGAAGAAGGUUUAACUCAAAAGUUCGCUCCUGAGAGCAUUGUGUUCCUUGUUCUUAAGACUGACUUGAAAUUUACCAACUGAUGAAACUCUUCAAGGCUUAGCUCAAAUACAAACUCCUUCACAAAAUCUUCUUAGAAUUGCUCUGUAGAAGGCACUGUCCCCUCCACUGUUCUCUAUAGCUCUGCAACUCUCCUCCAGUCCAUGAUUGUGAGGACUGAUUAUCAUAACCUAUUUUUAUACAGAAAGUUGCUGAGGCCAGGACAGUCUCUCAUUUACUGUGGACUUCUUAACCUCUACAUGGCCCCUAAUAUUCAAUUCCUAGUCCAUGCACUGAAGAACAGAAGGAUUGUGAAAACUGAAUAUAAAGUGUUUUUAGAAAUUUAAUGCAAAACAUACCUAGAACAUCAGAAAUUGUCUAAAGAAAGUACCAUUUACUAUUGCUUGGAGAGCAUAAAAAGUUGUGUCAAUAUAAAAUUUUGUAAUAAGCCUAUUAGGUAAAUGUCAAAAUAAGGGAUUUUUGUUGUUGUUGCUGUUUGCUUUUUUUUUUUUUUUUUUUUUUUUGAGACAGGGUCUUGCUCUGUCACCUAGGCUGGAGUGAAGUGGUGCAAUCAUGGCCCACUGCAGCCUUGUCCUCCCAGGUUCAGGUGAUCCUCCCACCUCAGCCUCUCAAGUAGCUGAAACCACAGGUGUGCACCACCAGUCCUGGCUGAUUUAUUUUUAUUUUUAUUUUUCUAGAGACGUGGUCUCACUAUGUUGCCCAGGCUGGUUUCAAAAUCCUGGCCUCAAGCGAUCCUCCCACCUUGGCCUCCUGAAAUGUUGGGUUUACAGGCAUGAGCCACUGUGCCCAGCCUAGAGGAGGGUAUUAAUAUCAAAAUUUUUUGAAAAGGAGUGCUCUCCAGCCAAAAAGUUCAACAUUAAAAAAACAUAAAAAGUUGUUUUUUUAUAAAGGGGAUUUGAGGGAACUGACAUUUUAAAAGAAACGUAUUUCCCUCCACAUGGUUUGGCUAUGUCCCCACUCAAAUCUCAUCUUGAAUUAUAGUUCCCAUAAUCCCCAUGUGUCACGGGAGGGACCUGGUGAAAGGUAACUGAAUCGUGGGGGCGGUUCCCCCAUGCUAUUCUCAUAAUAGUGAGGAAGUUCUCAUGAGAUCUGGUGGUUUUAUAAAGGGCAUCCGCCUUUGCUCGGUUCUCAUUCUUCUCUCUCCUGCCGCCAUACGAAGAAGGAUGUGUUUUCUUCCCCUCUGCCAUGAUUGCAAAUUUCCUGAGGCCUCCGCAGCCAUGCUAAACUGUCCGAAUGAUUUUCAAAAAGUGGACACUGUCAUCUUGAGAAUGAAAUACUGUAACAGGUUGGACUGAGGAAUAUAAGGAAGAUGAAAAACCCUUCAAUAUGUGUGU